UUAUUUUAUUCUGAUACAGUGUUUCCAGGACUUGGCUAAACAAUGGACUGGGCAUUGUUUCUUUAUUCAGAACACAGAAGGAAAUGGGAAAAGUUAGAUUAUCAGGUGCCUUGCUUCUUCUAAAAUCAUUCACCUUCAAGAAGGAGAUGAAGUCAAAUACUAACAGAGGAACUGUGGAACGAAGAGAGGAAUGAAACCUUUAGGUCCCUAAACCAGGAGAAGCUGUGGAGUGUUACCCCAUUGCCAGUGUGCCUGUCUUCCCCAUCUUCCAAUUCUGUUCCUCUCUCAAAGCACAGCUUAUGUCUCACCUGCUGCUUGGCAAUUUUUGGGAAUGGUCUGGAACCUCUUUAUCGGUGUACCUGUGUAGCCUUGAUCAUGUGAUCGUGCUCCAUCCUUCUGAAUCCAUUUGAACACUUGGAAUAUUUGCUUUGUUCUUGAAGUGGCAUAUACUAGAUGCUUGAAGAAAACAUUCACAGUGUUCUCCUGGCCAAGACCACCAAACAUCUACCUGUAGACUGCCUUUUGAUGUAUGGAGGGGGUUGCACUGAAUUUCAAGGGAGUGUCCUAAUUCUUUCCCUUAACUGGAAUCUCAUGGUAUCCAGGCUUGGAAGCACUGGUCUUGGAAGAGUGACAACUUGUUCGCUUGGGCCAACGCCCUAAACGCCACUGGCUCUUGGAAAAUCGGGAUUAGGCUAAGGGCCCAAGUGAAGAACGAAUCGUCUUAUUAGAACAAACCAGAACUGCUUUCUACAAGGCUGUGAAGGUGUUUUCAUUGGCAUGGAGGACGCUGAGGGACAGAGAGGACAUCUGUAGUCAAUAUCACACACUUCUUGUCAUCUGCAUGGCUUCAUAAGUUUGACUUCUUGGACUGUCUACUCAAAGUGCCCAGGUCAGUGCAGGUCUGGUGAUGUGUAUUACUGCUCCCUCCCUGCUGGGGAGGUAAUGACUACAAAAAAUUAAAAGAAAAUCAGGAACUGCGACGAGCACCAAAGGCAGUAAUGUAUUUGGAAGGACCCACCCUGUCCCGGUUUAGCUGUUUUCUGGCAGAUAGGAGUCUCGAAGCCUGGGAGACUCCAAACCCAGUGCUUCACGAGUCUGGGGCUGAGAUCUCUUUUCUGCCGUUCAUGACAUGGAGACACGCUUUCCUGAGCCCUGUUCCCAAAGCCACAGGAAGCCCCUGCCCAGCGAGGAGCCAAAGUGACCUCUACUCCGGGUUUCACUCCAGCAUCUGGGUGUUGGACGGAAAGCUUCCUGUCAUUAAAUGUUUGUGCAAAAGAAAAUGUCCAUUGACCAUGGAGUGUUGUAGAAGGGAUUCCUUCCCUGCAGAGGGAGUGACUUGUUGAAUCUACUCAUUUUGUAAUUUCAUAUUUUACCACAACAAUGAUUUUGCAAUUGAAGUGCUACAGUUUAUUCUCAGAUUUUGUAUUUAUGUAAUUCUAAAGAAAAGAAUGUAAAAUAAAUACUAGAUAGAUAGCUUUACAGUUUCUGCCCUUGACUUUUUGGGUACUGUCUUCCAGUGUGAGGAUUAUAUAGGUCUGAGGGGUCUCUGGAUAUAUCAUCAGCCAGUCUGGGAUUUGUUGUCACCUUUUCAAAAGCAUGCCAAAAAAAAAAAAAGAGAGAGAGAAAAUCUGAAGCUUUCCCUUUGGCUUUUUUCUGAUUGCACUGAUGAAAAGGUCAAGGAGAAAGAAGUCAGAGAAAUUAACUAAAAUGAGAUUUUAGUAAUAUUUUUAUUAAAACAUGCUAGUCCACUCCAUUAAUAUAGGUAAUGAAUAACUAGUUCUAGUAUAUAUCAAUAAUUGAUAAUUAGUGCAUAAAAUCUCUAAACAAAAUGAACUCACCUUAUAAAUAUGGCAUGAAUAUAAAUUUUAUUCUGUCUUAAUCUGCAUUUUGAGCCUCUUUCUCGGUGAAUCAAAGUAGUCUAGAAAUAGAUCGUAUCAUAAAAGAUCAUCUAGUAUAUAUAAAGAUGACAUCCCAAAUCACUUUGAGGAAUAUUCAAAAAAAUGACGUCAGGACAGUUGGUUAAUUAUUUGAAUAAAAAUCCUGCUAGAUUCUCAUGUAAUAUACAUAAAAUAGAUCAAGGUAGAUAAAAUAGCUAUACACUAAAAUAAAACUAUUAAGGAGCUGAAAGAAAAUACAGGUUCUUACUUGUUUGAUCUCAUGGAAAUAAGCUUUCUAAGGGAAAAAAAAAAGAAACCUCAAAGGGAAGAUUGUUACAUUUGACGACAUAAAGAACCUUUAGAACCUUUGUGUGUCUGUAAAAAAUAUUAAUUGACUUUUAAUAGCAGAAAGGCAUUUAAUAUUGGCAGCAUAUACAACAGACUAUGUUACCAUCAUUAUAUAAAAUACUCUUAUAAAUCAAAUACAAAAAAUAGGACAAUACCGAUAUAUUGAGUAAAGCUAUUAAACAGUUAACUGAAAAAAAAAAUGCACACAUGACUAAUAAACAUCACAAAUUCAAUCUUUACUCACCAGAGAAAUGCAAAAAAAAAAAAUUGGUGAUAUCAUUUUUCUCCUAUCAAAUUAUAAGAAAGUUAAAAAUUAUGAUGCUCUGUGUUGUGAGGCACUUUAUUCACAGCUGGUAGGGAUAUAAAUAAAUAUUGCUUUCUGGAGGAAUAUUUAGAAUAUAUAUUUUAAAAGCCUUAAAAAUUUGUGCUUUGAUCCAGAAAUUCUCUUUCUAAGAAUAUAUCCAAAGGAAAUAAUAAGCGAUGUAUACAAUGAUUUAGGCGCAAGUAUAUUCAUUGUGCACUGUGUCUUAUAAUAUUGGGAAAACAACAAAGAUUCAACAAUAGGAAAAUAAUUAAAUAAAAUGUGAUAGAUCGUAUCAUGGCCUAUUUAUUAUGCACUCUUUAGGAGUUGUGUUCCUAAGAAUAAUGACAAAAUGAAAUGCUAAUAAUACAUUCUUAAGUUAAAGAAAAAGCAGGAUACAAAACAAUGUGAUCUGAAUAUUAGAGGGGGUGGAAAGCACAGGAAAGCAAGAAAAAAGAACGUGUGUGUGUAUAAAUUAAGAAAAAACAAAAAUAACAACAGGAAUAAAAGAAACCAGAAGAUAACUAUAGGUUUUUUUUUUCUUCCAUGCUGAGGGAUAAUGGAUAUUUUUAAUAUUUUAAUUUAUACUUCUCCCAGUAUUUGAAAUUUUUAUUUUUAUAGGCAGAAAUAAAUCUCACAGUAAAUAUUUCUUUUUUGUUUGUUUGUUUUGUUUUUGUUAGGAGCACAUGGAAACAAAUUUUUAGGUGCUGUGGGCGAUAAGCUUUCCCAGGGUAGGGUAUUGCUAUCCCAUGACAAACAGGGCUUAUCUGUUCUUUCCAGUCAGGACACCAAGAGAGUUUCUGUUCAAAUACUUCUCCUAAACAAUACAUUCAACUUAGUGGUUUAUAAGGUCAAUAAAAGGGUUGGUUAAAAAAUGAACCAUGUGAAAACUGAAGCAUGGCCAGUGACUAGAGAAUGACUAUUCCACAA